rnacentral:rRNA from 1 species
UACGUAGGGACCGAGCGUUGUCCGGAUUCAUUGGGCGUAAAGAGCUCGUAGGCGGCCACUCAAGUCGAAUGUGAAACCUCGAGGCUUAACCUCGAGCCUGCAUUCGAUACUGGGUGGCUAGAGUCUGGUAGGGGGAUCUGGAAUUCCUGGUGUAGCGGUGGAAUGCGCAGAUAUCAGGAGGAACACCGGUGGCGAAGGCGGGAUCCUGGGCCAGUACCGACGUUCAGGCACGAAAGCGUGGGGAGCAAACAGG